UCGGGAAUUUUGGGCAAUGGGGGAAACCCUGACCCAGCAACGCCGCGUGAAGGAUGAAGUAUUUCGGUAUGUAAACUUCGAAAGAAUAGGAAGAAUUAAUGACGGUACUAUUUAUAAGGUCCGGCUAACUACGUGCCAGCAGCCGCGGUAAUACGUAGGGACCAAGCGUUGUUCGGAUUUACUGGGCGUAAAGGGCGCGUAGGCGGCAUGGCAAGUCACUUGUGAAAUCUCCGAGCUUAACUCGGAACGGCCAAGUGAUACUGCCGCGCUAGAGUGCGGAAGGGGCAAUCGGAAUUCUUGGUGUAGCGGUGAAAUGCUUAGAUAUCAAGAGGAACACCUGAGGUGAAGACGGGUUGCUGGGCCGACACUGACGCUGAGGCGCGAAAGCCAGGGGAGCAAACGGGGAUUAGAUACCCUUGUAGUCCCUGAGCGGGCUGGGCAAGGCGCAU
rnacentral:rRNA from 1 species